UAGGGAAUCUUCCACAAUGGACGCAAGUCUGAUGGAGCAACGCCGCGUGAGUGAAGAAGGUUUUCGGACCGUAAAGCUCUGUUGUUGGUGAAGAAGGAUAGAGGUAGUAACUGGCCUUUAUUUGACGGUAAUCAACCAGAAAGUCACGGCUAACUACGUGCCAGCAGCCGCGGUAAUACGUAGGUGGCAAGCGUUGUCCGGAUUUAUUGGGCGUAAAGCGAGCGCAGGCGGAAGAAUAAGUCUGAUGUGAAAGCCCUCGGCUUAACCGAGGAAUUGCAUCGGAAACUGUUUUUCUUGAGUGCAGAAGAGGAGAGUAGAACUCCAUGUGUAGCGGUGGAAUGCGUAGAUAUAUGGAAGAAUACCAGUGGCGAAGGCGGCUCUCUGGUCUGCAACUGACGCUGAGGCUCGAAAGCAUGGGUAGCGAACAGGAUUAGAUACCCUUGGUA
rnacentral:rRNA from 1 species